rnacentral:misc_RNA from 1 species
GAUGAAGAACGUAGCGAAAUGCGAUACUUGGUGUGAAUUGCAGAAUCCCGUGAACCAUCGAGUCUUUGAACGCAAGUUGCGCCUCAAGCCAUUAGGUUGAGGGCACGUCUGCCUGGGCGUCACAUAUCGUUGCCUGAUGCCAGUUUCCUCGUGAUGGGUGACUGUGCAGGGCGAAUGAUGGCUUCCCGUGGGCAUUGUUGCCUCAUGGUUGGUUGAAAAUUGAGUCCUUGGUAGGGAGCGCCGUGAUAGAUGGUGGUUGAGUGACGAACGAGACCCAAUCAUGUGAGACCCCUACCGAAUUUGGCCUUCAUGACCCACAUGCGUCUUUGGAACGCUCAUGACGAGACCUCAGGUCAGGCGGGGCUACCCGCUGAGUUUAAGCAUAUCAAUAAGCGGAGGA